rnacentral:lncRNA from 1 species
UCAUGUGCAUGCUCCCUUGCACCUGUGCCAGUGUUGUUGCCGCCAGYACGGCCAUCGCUCCCGCUCCUUCCGUCUUGUUUGUUGCCUGUGUGUGCCAAAAGCGCACAGCAAGUUGACCAUGACAGAAGACAGUCACAACAAACUCCGCCCUCACUCUCAGCAUGACCCAAGCAAGCCACAGCAGGCAACAGAAAAAAAG